rnacentral:rRNA from 1 species
AUUGAACGCUGGCGGCAGGCCUAACACAUGCAAGUCGAGCGGAUGAAGGGAGCUUGCUCCUGGAUUCAGCGGCGGACGGGUGAGUAAUGCCUAGGAAUCUGCCUGGUAGUGGGGGAUAAGGUCCGGAAACGGGCGCUAAUACCGCAUACGUCCUGAGGGAGAAAGAGGGGGAUCUUGGGACCUCACGCUAUCAGAUGAGCCUAGGUCGGAUUAGCCAGUUGGUAGGGUAACGGCCUACCAAGGCGACGAUCCGUAACUGGUCUGAAAGGAUGAUCAGUCACACUGGAACUGAGACACGGUCCAGACUCCUACGGGAGGCAGCAGUGGGGAAUAUUGGACAAUGGGCGAAAGCCUGAUCCAGCCAUGCCGCGUGUGUGAAGAAGGUCUUCGGAUUGUAAAGCACUUUAGGUUGGGAGGAAGGGCAGUAAGUUAAUACCUUGCUGUUUUGACGUUACCAACAGAAUAAGCACCGGCUAACUUCGUG